rnacentral:rRNA from 1 species
AUGUUCCCAUGGCUUGGGCCUCGCCUCUUCCUAUCCUUCGUCAUCAUCUCCACGAUGCCGACACCAUUGCUUGCCGCAGCCUGCGAACCCAAGCGAUGCGGCAACGUGAGCAUCUCAGCCCCGUUCGGGGUCAUCUCGGGUUCUGAGGAGAACAGGUGUGCCCAGCUUGGGUUCCAGGUCCACUGCUCCAACGGAGUCCCGUACCUCGGCUACUAUGAGCCCGAGCACGGGCUACAGAUCCUGGACAUCUUCUACAUCAACGGUUCCUUGCUAGUCUCUGACGUCCACAAACUCAGAGGCUUCAAUCUCUCUGACGAGAAUGGCUGCCAUGUCCCGAAGGCAAACACGGCGACCAAAAUCGGGCAUCCAUUCUCAGUAAGCCCCCUGAAUCAGAACCUCGUCUUCUACAACUGCACCAGGGCUCUGGCGACCCGAGCAGGGCUGGUGGACACAGUCUGCCAGAACAACACGUUUGUCCGCGCGGCAGGGCGUUAUAACGUGUCGGGCAUGAUAGACGGUGGCUACGCUUUGGAGGGAUGCAGCGCCACCGUUGUGCCGGUGCUGGGGCCGUCUGUAGAUGUGAACGCCAGCGACUACGAGGAACUCAUCAGCGAUGGCUUCCUCAUGACAUGGCAGCCGCCAAGUGCCGGUAGUGGUAGCAAGAAGCGAUGGCACAAGAUUAUGCUAAUAGGUAUGACAUCAGCAGCUGCAACCUUUCUCUUUGCAUGUCUUUAUGCGCUGAUAUGGUAUAGAAAGGGGAAGAGGUUAUGGUUUCUCCUUUCCGAGACGACUAAAAGCAACACUGAAAAGAAUUAUGAGGCCAUGAUAGCGUCCUAUGGAUCCCUAGCUCCGAAAAGAUACAUGUACUCAGAGAUAAUGAAGAUAAUGUCUUCUCACGAUGACCAGCUUGGAAAAGGAGGUUUCGGUGUCGUUUUCAAAGGAAGACUACACGAUGGUCGUCUGGUUGCUGUUAAAUUCUUGCAUGACUGCAAAGGAAACGGGGAUGAGUUUGUGAAUGAAGUUAUGAGCAUUGGAAGGACCUCUCAUGUUAAUGUUGUUAGUCUAUUUGGGUUUUGUUUGGAGGGAUCAAAACGUGCUCUUAUAUAUGAGUACAUGCCCAACGGUUCCUUGGAUAAGUACAUUUAUUCAGAGAAGUCCAAAGAAAUUUUAGGAUGGGAGAGGCUCUAUGCGAUAGCAAUUGGGAUUGCUCGUGGCCUCGAAUACUUGCAUCAUAGUUGUAAUACACGUAUCGUCCAUUUUGAUAUCAAGCCCCAAAAUAUCCUUCUAGACAAAGAUUUUAGCCCGAAGAUUGCUGAUUUUGGUCUAGCUAAAUUGUGUCAUACAAAGGAGAGCAAGCUUUCAAUGACUGGAGCUAGAGGAACAAUUGGAUUUAUCGCUCCAGAAGUUCACUAUCGGACCUUCGGGGUGGUUUCAACAAAGUCGGAUGUUUAUAGUUAUGGAAUGAUGCUGCUGGAGAUGGUUGGAGGUAGGAGAAACGUAAAAUCAAUUGUUGCAAAAUCCAGUGAAAAGUAUUUUCCAGAUUGGAUUUAUGACCACUUUGCGCAAGAUGAGGGAUUACAAGCAUGUGAAGUUACAAGAGAAAUUGAGGAGAUCACGAGAAAGAUGAUCAUAAUAGGCUUGUGGUGCAUACAAGUGUUACCUAUGUAUCGACCUACUAUAACAAGUUCUAGAAAUGUUUGA